UUAAUCGUCAAUCGCGAUUAACAUUUAAAUCGUUAAUUUUUAAUCCUUAAUCAGCUUAACAUUUUGCCAACACUGAUCUGAGACCGUC